AGAAUGACUGAUAGCACAGAGGAGCUAAAAAAGCUGGAGACACUACUGAUUUUGCUGUCAGCAAAUGCUCUGUGGGGCACUCAGGGCACAGCUCAGCCUGAACUGGAAGAAUGGACACUUAAGGACUUGGGGACAUGAGUGUGAGUCUCAGAUAUUUUGCAAGAAGGAAAUGCCCAAGUCUUACCUGCAAACCAGCGACUGAUUUUCCAUGUGCUCUGCAAAGAGGGACCAAAAGGCUGCCACUGAUACAGGGGAGUCUGUGACCAGCACCAGACCAGGGCUUCAUGUUAUUUAGGAACUCCUUUCAUCCGACUCCUCACAUUUCCUCCUGGAAAACAAAAAGGUAUUGUGUGACAGAGCAGUUGGAAGGUGACAAGCUGAGAAGUGAGACCCAGGCAGUUUCCCAGGUGAGGUAUGAACCUGCCCAAGCCCUCCUGUGAAUGUCAGUAAUGAAUUUAAUGAAAUGUGCAGCAUAAUCCCAUGCGACAUCAGCAUGAAGUUCCCUGCCUGAGUUAUGCUCCACAUAAGUAAACUGAUUUUCAGGCCUGUGUUAAAAUAAUCUUUAUCUCAUUUUUCUGAGAUUCACACAUAUAUUUUCCCUUUAUUACAGUAGUGGUAAAGUCAAAGUUUUAAGUAAGCCAAGUAUAUUGAUAAUUUCAGAAUAUGUCACUGUAACUCUGUUAAGGUAUAAAAAUUAUGAAAGACUAAUGUAAUGAAUCAUGAAGUAAUGAA